ensembl:lncRNA
CUUUUCCUGAACCCUAUAUAGGUAGUUCUGUUGUCCGAACAUAAUAAAGUAGUUCAAUUUCACAACAUUAAUCACAUGUUUACAAGAAAAUUGUUAUUGCUAAUUACUAAUUUUCUGAAAUGCGUUUUUCUCUUCCCAGAUCGGAAUCUGCCAUGAAUGAACAUGCACUAUUAAUUGGGGUUUAAAAAAAAGAAGCCUGUACCUCUUAGCCCUGUUGUUAACGAAAAGACACCGGAAACACGUAAAAAGUUAUCACCGAAAGUUUAAUCAGAUGUGCCCCCGAAAUCCAGGAAGAAUCUACCAAUCGGCACGAGAGGGAAGCCACAAAAUGCCAGCAACGUGUCACCACAAAAACCUAAAGAACGCAGUGAACUAACGCCAGCAAGAACAGAAAGAAAGAAAAAUAAUACCCAAGACAAGACCACCAUGGUUACCACCAGCUACAAGUCGAAAGCAAGGUAAAGGAACCAUUCAUGACGCCAAGAAGACACCAGUCAAGAGAACACCAGAAAAACUUCCGCCGACAAUUCCCCAAAUGUCAGCACGUAAAUAUCCAGCUGUCAAUCCCCCUAAAUCCAAGAAGAAUCUACCAAUCAGCACGAGGGGAAAGCCAGAAAAUGCCAGCAGCGUGUCACCCCAAAAACCUAAAGAAUGCAGUGCACCAAGACCAGGAAAAAGCGAAAGACCAAAGGAAGAAAGCAGAAUAAUCCCCAAAACGAGACUACCAUGUUUAAUACCAGCUACAAGUCAAAAGCAAGGUAAAGGAACCAUUGAUGACGCCAAGAAGACACCAGAAAAACGUCUACCGACAAAGUCAGCACCUACAGAUCCAGCUGUCAAUCCCCCUCCAAGACGCCCAACUACGCGUGUACAAGCAGCACCACAAACAAGUGUUUUACCACCUAUUCCACAGAAUAAAGGCACAGGUAGCCAACAGCAGAGAACUAUUCCAAAGAAAUCUGUGCCAAAGUGGGAUGACUCAGCAACAUUGCCCGUUAUUAAAGGAUUGAGGCAACCAGCUAUUCCAAGAGACAGCCGAAACAACCACAUGGUGUGUGUUGCUUUCCUCACCUUAAGGAUAAGGUGAACAUUGUUAGACGAUCAGUGAAGCCAGCUGACGCAGCUGUGCAGUAGACGGACCAACAAGAACAGCUCCUCUACUCUCUUC